rnacentral:rRNA from 1 species
UGAGUUUGAUCCUGGCUCAGGACGAACGCUGGCGGCGUGGAUUAGGCAUGCAAGUCGAACGGUAGAUACUCCUUCGGGGGUAUUGAGAGUGGCGAACGGGUGAGUAACACGUAGAUGAUCUACCCUCAAAUGGGGGACAACCCAGGGAAACUUGGGCUAAUACCGCAUGAGUGCAGCGCAUAAAUUAUCUUUUGCUGGGUAAUUUAUGCGCUGUAUAAAAGAUGGCUUUCGGGCUGUCGUUUGGGGAUGAGUCUGCGUCCUAUUAGUUAGUUGGUGAGGUAAUGGCUCACCAAGGCGAUGAUAGGUAGGCGGCCUUAACGGGUGGCCGCCCACACUGGGAUUGAGAUACGGCCCAGACUCCUACGGGAGGCAGCAGUCGAGAAUAGUCUACAAUGGACGAAAGUCUGAUAGUGCGACGCCGCGUGAACGAAGAAUCCCUUCGGGGUGUAAAGUUCUUUUAUAUGUGAGCAAUGCUUUUUAUGUGAAUAGCAUGAGAAGAGAGAUAUUAGCAUAUGAAUAAGCAACGGCUAACUCCGUGCCAGCAGCCGCGGUAA